AAAUACGGCCAUACCAACCUGGCUAUGCCCUAUUUCGUCUGAUCUCGGAAGCUAAGCAGGUUUGGGCCUGGUUAGUACUUGGAUGGGAGACGCCUGGGAAUACCAGGUGCUUUAAGCU
rnacentral:rRNA from 1 species